rnacentral:tRNA from 1 species
CGGGCUAUAGCGCAGUUGGGUAGCGCGCACGGUUCGGGACCGUGAGGUCGUGAGUUCAAAUCUCACUAGCCCGA